rnacentral:rRNA from 1 species
UACGUAGGGGGCAAGCGUUGUCCGGAAUCAUUGGGCGUAAAGAGCGCGUAGGCGGCCCGAUAAGUCCGCUGUGAAAGUCAAGGGCUCAACCCUUGAAUGCCGGUGGAUACUGUCGGGCUAGAGUCCGGAAGAGGCGAGUGGAAUUCUUGGUGUAGCGGUGAAAUGCGCAGAUAUCAGGAGGAACACCAAUGGCGAAGGCAGCUCGCUGGGACGGUACUGACGCUGAGGCGCGAAAGCGUGGGGAGCAAACAGG